GCGCAGCAGCGAAGCCCGGCGCGGCCGCCAUCUCAGUGCGGCGGUGCAGCCGGCACUGCGGGUUGGGAUUUUCGGCGCAGCACGGAGCAGCCGCAGCCGCCCAGCUAAUCCGGCACCCGUCACGUGCUAUCGGAGGAGGGGGGGAGAAAAGGGGGAAGAAGG